rnacentral:misc_RNA from 1 species
AAGUCGUAACAAGGUAUCCGUAGGUGAACCUGCGGAUGGAUCAUUACCAAUUUAUAUUAUUAGUGUUGUGCCUGCAACUUUUUGUUGUGGGUAUCAACUACUAUUAUGUAAACGUUGAACUAGAUCAAUUGGUGUGGAUUGCUUGGGAAUGGACGAAGCGACAAGCCUCUUCCGGACAGGCAAACCCCACACUGAUAACCCUUUUCAAUAUAUACUAUACUUACUAGUACAUACUACAAACAAACAAACAAACAAACAAAAAGCUAUAAUAGGACUUAUAAACAGGCUGAGUGGGUAAAAUCCUCGGCUUAUCAAUAUAACUAUUACAACUUUCAGCAAUGGAUCUCUAGGCUCUC